rnacentral:rRNA from 1 species
AACGAACGCUGGCGGCAUGCCUAACACAUGCAAGUCGAACGAGACCUUCGGGUCUAGUGGCGCACGGGUGCGUAACGCGUGGGAACCUGCCCUUAGGUUCGGAAUAACUCCCCGAAAGGGGUGCUAAUACCGGAUAAUGUCUUCGGACCAAAGAUUUAUCGCCUUUGGAUGGGCCCGCGUUGGAUUAGCUAGUUGGUAGGGUAAAAGCCUACCAAGGCGACGAUCCAUAGCUGGUCUGAGAGGAUGAUCAGCCACACUGGGACUGAGACACGGCCCAGACUCCUACGGGAAGCAGCAGUGGGGAAUAUUGGACAAUGGGCGAAAGCCUGAUCCAGCAAUCCCGCGUGAGUGAUGAAGGCCUUAGGGUUGUAAAGCUCCUUUACCCGGGAUGAUAAUGACAGUACCGGGAGAAUAAGCUCCGGCUAACUCCGUG